GAUGAAGAACGCAGCGAAAUGCGAUAAGUAAUGUGAAUUGCAGAAUUCAGUGAAUCAUCGAAUCUUUGAACGCACAUUGCGCCCGCUAGUAUUCUGGCGGGCAUGCCUGUCCGAGCGUCAUUUCAACCCUCAAGCCCCCGGGCUUGGUGUUGGGGAUCGGCGAGCCUCCGCGCCCGCCGUCCCCUAAAUCUAGUGGCGGUCUCGCUGUAGCUUCCUCUGCGUAGUAGCACACCUCGCACUGGGAAACAGCGCGGCCACGCCGUUAAACCCCCAACCGCUGAGCGUUUGACCUCGGAUCAGGUAGGAAUACCCGCUGAACUUAAGCAUAUCAUUAAGCGGAGGA
rnacentral:misc_RNA from 1 species